UACAGUCAUAUCAAAUUGAAACACCAAUUCCCGUACGAUCACCGAAGUUAAGCAAGGUCGGGCCUGGUCAAUACCUAGAUGGGUCACCGCUGGGAAAACCAGGUGCUGUAA